rnacentral:lncRNA from 1 species
AAAGUGUUUUCAAUUUUAUUUUGUAUCUAAAUUGCUAUGGUGGCAAAUAUUAUACAUAUUUAAAUGUGGGAUAGCAUUUCAUAUUAGCAUCAGUAAAAUCCUUAAAAUCCUAAGACUGUGGGUGUCAGUCUCUCCAGUGAUUUGGAUUGCUGUGCACUGAAGUGUGGAACAUGUGAAGGAUAUCCUUAGAGUUUAACUUAAGCAUCAUAAGUAAAAUUGCCAUAACUAAUUAUCAUACUCUAUAUUUAUCAAUCUGUAAGUAAGCCCUCAUUUUCUAUCUUAGUAAUGCUAUAAUUCAUUUCCAUAAAAAACUAUACAGGUAAAAGAGAAAAAUAUCGCAUCAUAAUUGAGCUGAAUUUAUAUUUUCAAUUCAUCAUAAAAAUAUUUAAUGAUCCACAGAUAAUGUGCCACUUUCUCAUAAAUAUGCCAUAAUAUUAAUUCAAAGUGCCAUAAAUAUUCAUUCAAAUAGAAGUUGUCUCAAAAUAUAACACUAUUACAGUUCAUAUAUAUAUAUAUGUGUGAUAUAUAUAAGUAACUAUAAGAGAACAAUCACCCACACACUUCUUGUUGCUUUAUAGUUUAAUAUAAUAGUUUUUAGUUAUGUUUUAUUUUGCUGGUUCGUAUUUACAUAAAAUACUAUAAGGCUUUUAUGUAGUGCAUGGACUCCCCAAGUCCAUCCAUAGGCCCUCCACCUUCCUAUUACCUUUCUCCUGCUCAGGUCAUGCGUUUUAAUUUUUGUUAGCCAUCUGUAGGCACUGCAGUUUGCUGAUCCCUGAUCUAUAGCACAUUAUAUAUCACUCUCUCCUGUAACUAACUUACUGUGAAUCCGUCUCAUCUGCCGUCCUUCAAGCAUCUUGGGGGUAUGAACUAUGUCUUAUUCAUCCUUAUAUUCUCCAGAGUAUUUUACACAAAGGAGGCAUUCAAUAAAAAUCUAUUGAAAUAGUCAAGAAAGUGGGAAAUAGCUUAAGCAUGUAGCAGGAUGCUCCCUGAACAUUAAAAGAAUUAAAAUUGAAUUUCAUAUUUUAUAAAACUAAUGUUUUUAGGAAUGUAGCAAUCUGUGGUAACAAAAUAGUGUCCCUUAUAAAAUAAGUAUAGCCUUCAACAAAAUAAUAACUAGCAUUCCUUAGUCUUAUUUUUCCUGAGAUCUAGAUUUUUAUUACCACUUUUAUCAUAUUUUUAAGACUGCUAGUUUUCCUUUAAUUUUUAUGCUAUCAAAUUAUCAAAUGUACAUGCUUUAAAAAGUCCAGUAUUUCAUUGGGCCUAUAACAGAAAAUAAUAUCACCUUGAUAUGUCUUUGUGUGUGUGUGUGUGUAUGUGUGUGUGUGUACUUGUACCUUAAAGCAAUGAUAAAAAUUUCAUAAGAAUGUAAGAGGGACUGUAAUUCCUAUUAGGAUAAGAAAAGGAUUUUAAGAGUUGAGUAAAGUACAUUUUAAAUCUCAAAUUCUGUUCUAUUCAUUCACAUUCCAUAAUAAUAAAUCCUUGACCAUUUGAAAAUGUCACUAGUGCGUGUUAGAAUCAUCAUUUGUCUUAGAUUAGUAAGCAAAUAGUGAGUGUUCAUGUGUUAAUCAUGUGAGGUCACUAAUAACCUCUGAAGAAUAGCUUGAGGACCAGAGAAUUAUUUUAGAAUAACAUAGAUCUUUGAAUAAUUUCUUACCCCUAAAUAUUUUUAGAUUACAAGGACAGAACAGCUCAUGGAUAUAAUCUCCAAAAAAACCCUUGAACAAAGAUGUCCAAUUAUCUUAGAACCAAACAUGGAAGAAAACCUUUCUUAACUUAGUGCAACUUAUUUUGUUAUUCUCAGAAAUUUGGCAUAUUGUCUCAUUGGUUUUUACAUCAUUCAAAUGACUUAAAAAAAAGGAUGAUGAUGACACAAUAUAAAUUACUAUAAGGGAAAGAAGUAUAUGUAUAUGUCUUGGUGAUUUAGUUCUUUAGGUACUUUUGAAGAUAUAUGUUACAAAUGUUAUAUUAGCAGUUCUUCAAAAAGAUGUUUCUUAAACCUUGGGACAGAUAAUUGUUAUCCAUGAUUUCAUACUGUAAUGCCAAAAUGUACCUCACACCCAUGAAAGAAUAAUCUGGCAUAUUUAGGGAAUAACAAGGAUAUAGUUUGUACCCAUGAUACCAGUAUAGCCAGAUAAAAUGUGGAAAAAAAUCCAUUAAAUACUUUGUCACACUUUAUAAAAAGAAAUUUCUGUAACUCAAAUGGAAACAUCUUAGUUACUUUAUAAUUAAUAUGGUUGAGUUAUAAAAUUAGAAAAAUUCAAAUUAUAUAAGGAAAAUUAAAACCCUGUUCUACUACUAUUGUGUCAGCUGAUAGUUCAGAACAUGGUAACACAUUAUGGUUUCAUACUGUCCUUUUUUGUCUAGAAAUUUUUUAUUGUAUUUUGGCAUAAUUUUAGUUAUCUCAUAUCUGAGUGAGAUCUUAAGGAAAAAAAAGAUCUUAUAAAGAAAUGUGAGAAAAAAAGUUGAUCAUAGAAAUAGCAAAUAAAGGAUUUUUAAAGUCACAUUAGUAUUACAUUUGAUUAUAAUAAAGGUGAUGAAAUCUCCAUGGAAAGGCUUACAGUAGCCACAUAAAUAUGCUGAUUUCUUUUCUUUAUUAUCCUUAAUUGGACAUGAAUUCUUAAUGAGAGAACACGUCUAAUGAUUUUGAUUUGCAAGGCUUUGUAAUUUAUUAACUUCAAAUUGAAAAUCUCCAAGGUGAAAAAAAUAUUUCAUCUUUAUGUAUAUUCUGUCAACUCAGACUACUUUUACAAAGUCCAUCCACCAGGAAAAUUCAGCCAACCUGCAGAUGAAAUUUUUGAUAUGUAGAGGUGACUAAAGUUGAAUUUUAUUUUUAGUUAGAGACAGAAGUUAAAUUCAGUGAUGGCUUCUUAGGUAACUACCUUGUAAAGCCUAAAUUCAAGGCCAGCUUCCAUUCCAUUUUGCAUAGCCUUUUGGAUUCCCCCCCAUAGAGAAGGUUGUGCUGUGGCCCUGGAAGAGUUUGCCUGCAUUUAAAUUUUGGCUUCACUUCCUGAUACAGCUGUGAUCUCUCCAUGCCUCAGUCUGAUUUUCACUAAAAGUAGAAUAAAAUGUGUUAUGCUGCAUGAUAUUGUUUUGAGAAUUAACUCCAAUAAUCCACAUAAACUGCAUGGUUUAAAGUGCUGCUCAAAAAGGUUAGUUCUAGCCUGAAUAAUGACCUUGAGGCAAUUUUUGAACUCUGUAUAACUUGUGUAUUUUGAUGAUUUUCCCCUGGUUAUUCUCCAUAAAGUAGAGAAAAGUAAAGGAUGUUGGUGGAAUAUAUAUUAUUGGUUGUAUUCUUUAGGGCAAGUUUUGACAAACUUUGUCUAUAAUGAAGCAUAAAACAAAAACAGGCUGUAGUCUGGAUUUGGCCUGCUGGUUGUCAUUUUCCAAGCCCUACCUUAAAAUAAAGAAAUGCCAUUUUUAGUGAAUGAUAGAUUCAUCUCUCAAUAGCUUCUAUUUUUUUCUAAUUGGAAUUUAAUCCAUUCUCACUGUUAAAUAAAAUAAUUUGAAAAAUAUAGAAAUGUUUAAAUAAAUACAUAACUUAUAAUCAUAUAAUUCAUGAAUAACUAAUUUCAACAGUUAAUUUUAUUUAUAGAAUUUCUAUUUUUCUAAACAAAUUAGAAAUAUGCCGUGGACAUAUUUUUAAUUCCUGUUCUUUCUACUUACCAUUAUAAAAUGAAUGCUUUCCCCCCAAAAAUCUCAUAAUAUCAUUUACAUGGCUUUAUUUAAAUGGUAAUAAUUAUACUUCAUAAAUUAAUAUCCAUUAAUAAUCUUUCCCUGCCACUAGAUUGUGUUCACUUUGAGACUAGAGACUGUCUUACUCAUCUUUGUAAGUCUCAUCUUUAGUAUCAUGAUUGGUACAUGGUAAGUGCUCAUGACUGAAUCAGUUUUAAAAUUUAAGAACACAAUUAUUCUUUACUCAAUGUUAUAUCUUAGAGUCCUGGUCCUAGUUCCAAGAUGGCAUGCUCAAAUUCAUUACCUGCUAGCCAGUUAUGCAGAAAGCAAGAGUAGCAUGAUUUUUUAUUACCAGUUCACUUUAGAGAGCUCAUCAUUUGAAAAAAUAAUCUAUUUAAGUGCCAAAAUUGUUCCAUUUUUCUUUCAUUCCCUGAAAAAUUUUCAUUUAAAAUAGUCUCCCCAAAAUUGUUCCAAGCCAGAUACUUCUGAAUGACAUUUCAAUUUGUACCUGAAAUUCAUUAUUCAUACUAAGGGGGAUGGUAUAUCAGUUAUAAAAGAAAAAGAAAGGGAGGAAGGAAGGAAAGAAAGAAAGAGAGGAGGGAGAGAGGGAAGGAAGGAAACAUACAUUUGAAGACACUUUUUCAGAAUACAAUGAACCAUUUUUCUGAGAGAAGCUGUUUUCACAUGCAUCGUAUUCCACAGAGCAAACACAAAGAGCUAAGUAACUUCUUCAGUGAAAAAAAGGUGAGCUUUUGUUGUAUUUAGGAAUACAAACUGGUUUACAUAUUUUUACUGAUUAGUUUAAAAAUAGUUAAAAGAGUACUUUAUCACCUUAGUUAAAAAUGUUUGAUUCACUGAUAGUUUUUGGAUUAAUCUCAAUAUGUUUUUUCAAAAUAAAACUCUAUCUGGGAAAUCUGGGAAAAUAUCAUCCUGACUGAGCACAGGCAUCAAACUCUGUUUUUCUCCGCUCCCUAUUAAGGUGGUCAAACAUAAGUAAUAGAGGCAGGCAGAACUAGCUUCAUCCCUCGUAACUUAAAAAGUUGACAUCUGUGCAAGGUAACUAAUAACUUGCUUUCAUAUCCAUCUACCCUCACAUACGCACACUCUAACAUAGGGAGCUACAUUUCUCAUGUUCCCCUGCACAUUGACCUCUCUGUUGGGUACAAGAAAUAUCAGAGGUUAGAAGAUGAACAGGUACAAGGGCAGCACUCCUCAGUAUGGUAUCUUUAUAGUUUCUGAGGAUCAUCCAUGACUCCUGCUCCUGAUCAGGCACCCCUUCCCCACUUCUUAUUUCCCAUAUCUCAACAGAUGAUCCUCACUGUGAUUCUAGCUCCCCUGGGACAUGGUGUGGUUCUAGGCUAUGGUUACACUACCAUGUCCUCUCUUCCUGUUCUCUUGUGCUCUUUUUUGUAUGUUCUAAUUUUUUGUCUCUUUGUAUUCUUGGUGUGAAUAUUUAUUUCCUUAUAAUCACUAAUCCAGUAAUUAAGUUGAUAAUCUUAAAUCAAUAGGGUAUUGCCCUAAUUCAGACACAUAUUUCAAUAUUUGUGAAGGGCAUUUUAUUUCUGAUUCUUCCUUAUUCCCUCCAAGAUGUAAAUCUUCAGUGGUCCAAGUAGAAUCCUGGGCUAUUAACCAAUGUCCUACCUCCUUGUGAUUUUUUUUUUCUUUUUGGGGAUGCACCCUCAGCAUAUAGAGGUUCUCAGUCUAGGAGUCGAAUUGGAGCUGUAGCCAAGGCCUACACCACAGCUCACUGCAACACCGGAUCCUUAACCCAGUAAGCAAGGCCAGGGAUGGAACCUGCCUCCUCAUGGAUGCUAGUCAGAUUCAUUUCUGCUGAGCCACAAUGGGAACUCCCUCCUUGUGAUUUUUAAUCUCUAAUUUUUGUUCUUCCAGGCUCUUAAGACUUCUGAAAGUUCUGUUCAGCUUUUCAGCCUUCUAGCUGCUAUUUUAUGCUCAGCUUCUCAGUCCCUCAGCUGUGUUUUAUAGAUUGGAAAAUGCCUUAAGAAGAAGAAUGUUAGAUUCAGUUAUCUUCAUGUUCGUCCUCUGUAGAACAUUGACUUCUCUGUCCUCAGUGAUUUCUUAAUUUAACUAAUGCCUUCAAAAAGAUUUUAGAAAGAUGUUUUAUACAGAUUUAGCAGUCAUUCUUGGUGGAAGGGUUGGCUUAAUAUAAUCUAGUCCACGAAAAUGACCAAAACCCAAAAGGAAAAAAAUUGAAUAACAAAUAAAUAGCAAAAGUGGGGAAAAGGGAAUUAUAUUUUACAAAAUCUACAAGUAAAUUUGAAUAACAAAUAGCAAAAAGUAGGGGGAAAUGAAUUACAUUGUUUAAAAUCUAGAAGUAAAUCACAAAGUUAGAAAUGGAAAAAAAGUCAUUUUAAAAAUAAAAUUUGUGAAAAUAUAAAAAUAAAAAUCCAGCAGAUUUCUUGAAGUUCCUAAAAAGCCAAGAGAGGAGUUCCCAUCAUGGCACAGUGGAAACAAAUCUGACUAGGAACCACGAGGCUGCUGGUUUGAUCCCUGGCCUCGCUCAGUUGGUUAAGGAUCCAGUGUUGUGGUGAACUGUGGUAUAGGUCACAGACACAGCUCAGAUCCUGCAUUGCUGUGGCUGUGGCCAUAAUCUGUAGCUCUGAUUUGACCCCUAGCCUGGGAACUUCCAUAUGCCAUGGG